rnacentral:rRNA from 1 species
UACAUGGGUGCAAACGUUGCUCGGAAUUAUUGGGCGUAAAGCGCGCGUAGGCGGUUCUCCAAGUCGGAUGUGAAAGCCCUCGGCUUAACUGAGGAAGUGCACCCGAAACUGGAGAGCUAGAGUACGUAAAGAGGGAUCGCGGAAUUCCCGGUGUAGAGGUGAAAUUACGUAGAUAUCGGGAGGAACACCGGGUGGGCGAAGGCGGCGCCUGGGUAGAUACUGACUGAGGCGCGAAAGCGUGG